rnacentral:rRNA from 1 species
UACGUAGGGAGCAAGCGUUGUCCGGAAUCAUUGGGCGUAAAGCGCGCGUAGGUGGCUUCGUAAGUCCGUUGUGAAAGUCAAAGGCUCAACCUUUGAAAGCCGAUGGAUACUGCGGAGCUAGAGUACGGAAGAGGCGAGUGGAAUUCCUGGUGUAGCGGUGAAAUGCGCAGAUAUCAGGAGGAACACCAAUGGCGAAGGCAGCACUCUGGGACGUGACUGACGCUGAGGAGCGAAAGCGUGGGGAGCAAACAGG